rnacentral:rRNA from 1 species
GACGAACGCUGGCGGCGUGCUUAACACAUGCAAGUCGAGCGGAAAGGCCACUUCGGUGGUACUCGAGCGGCGAACGGGUGAGUAACACGUGAGUAAUCUGCCCCCGGCUUUGGGAUAGCCACCGGAAACGGUGAUUAAUACCGGAUACGACACUUCUCGCAUGGGAUGGUGGUGGAAAGUUUUUUCGGCCAGGGAUGUGCUCGCGGCCUAUCAGCUUGAUGGUGAGGUAAUGGCUCACCAUGGCUUCGACGGGUAGCCGGCCUGAGAGGGUGACCGGUCACACUGGGACUGAGACACGGCCCAGACUCCUACGGGAGGCAGCAGUGGGGAAUAUUGGACAAUGGGCGGAAGCCUGAUCCAGCAACGCCGCGUGAGGGAUGACGGCCUUCGGGUUGUAAACCUCUUUCAGCAGGGACGAAGCGCAAGUGACGGUACCUGCAGAAGAAGCACCGGCCAACUACGUGCCAGCCGCCGCGGUAA